rnacentral:rRNA from 1 species
AACGAACGCUGGCGGCAUGCCUUACACAUGCAAGUCGAACGGUAACAGGUCUUCGGAUGCUGACGAGUGGCGAACGGGUGAGUAAUACAUCGGAACGUGCCUAGUAGUGGGGGAUAACUACUCGAAAGAGUGGCUAAUACCGCAUGAGAUCUACGGAUGAAAGCAGGGGAUCGCAAGACCUUGUGCUACUAGAGCGGCCGAUGGCAGAUUAGGUAGUUGGUGGGAUAAAAGCUUACCAAGCCGACGAUCUGUAGCUGGUCUGAGAGGACGAUCAGCCACACUGGGACUGAGACACGGCCCAGACUCCUACGGGAGGCAGCAGUGGGGAAUUUUGGACAAUGGGCGAAAGCCUGAUCCAGCAAUGCCGCGUGCAGGAUGAAGGCCUUCGGGUUGUAAACUGCUUUUGUACGGAACGAAAAGCCCCGGGUUAAUACCCUGGGGUCAUGACGGUACCGUAAGAAUAAGCACCGGCUAACUACGUGCCAGCCGCCGCCGUAACAC